GACGAACGCUGGCGGUGUGCUUCACACAUGCAAGUCGAACGGGGUAGCAAUACCCAGUGGCGGACGGGUGAGUAACGCGUAGAAAUCUGCCUUGAGAUGGGGGAUAACAGUCCGAAAGGACUGCUAAUACCGCAUAUGUAUAUAUCCGGACACGGAUGUGUAUGAAAGGAGUAAUCCGUCUUAAGAUGAGUCUGCGUCCGAUUAGCUAGUUGGUAGGUAAAGGCCACCAAGGCGACGAUCGGUAGCUGGUCUGAGAGGAUGAUCAGACCACAAUGGGACUGAGACACGGCCAUACUCCUACGGGAGGCAGCAGUGGGGAAUUUUGUGCAAUGGGGGAAACCCUGACACAGCGACACCGCGUGAGCGAAGAAGCCCUUUGGGGNGUAAAGCUCUGUCGGCUGGAACGAAAAAAU
rnacentral:rRNA from 1 species